CAAUAGCGUAUAUUAAAGUUGUUGCGGUAAAAAAGCUCGUAGUUGGAUUUCUACCGAAGAUAGCCGGUCGGGUCUUCGACCUUGUAUCUGGUUUUGUCUUUGGUAUCCUCAUAGGGAACGUUUCUGCGCUUUAUUGCGUGGUGCGGUAUCUAUGACUUUUACUUUGAGGAAAUUAGAGUGUUCACGGCAGGCAAACGCCUUGAAUAUAUUAGCAUGGAAUAAUAACAUAGGAUCUUCGUCCUAUUUUGUUGGUUUCUAGGGCUAAGAUAGUGAUUAAUAGGGAUAAUUGGGGGCAUCUGUAUCAACGCGUCAGAGGUGGAAUUCUUGGAUUGCGUUGCGACAAACUACUGCGAAAGCAUUUGCCAAGGAUGUUUUCAUUGA
rnacentral:rRNA from 1 species